rnacentral:rRNA from 1 species
CACGUAGGGCGCAAGCGUUGUCCGGAAUUAUUGGGCGUAAAGAGCUCGUAGGCGGUGUGUCACGUCGUUCGUGAAAACCUGCAGCUUAACUGUGGGCGUGCGGUCGAUACGGGCAUCACUGGAGUUCGGCAGGGGAGACUGGAAUUCCUGGUGUAGCGGUGAAAUGCGCAGAUAUCAGGAGGAACACCAGUGGCGAAGGCGGGUCUCUGGGCCGAAAUUGACGCUGAGGAGCGAAAGCGUGGGGAGCAAACAGG